rnacentral:rRNA from 1 species
AUGCCAAGUUUUCUCACCAUGAUGUGCGUCGCCAACCUCGCCGAAUCAUCCUUCUACCAUCAGGAACAACUGAAGCCAAGGCACGAACCACCAGCGGAUCCGACGACCUCAAAGCACACCACUUACAUCUGCGGCCACCACGAGGCCCACCGCCACCAGAUCGGAGUCGGACACCCCAAGGCAUGUUCAGACUCCAGAGACGAAGUCAAGCUAAAGGUAUACGGAUUUAUGGGAUGGGAGACUAAAUACCUGCAUCUGUUUCAGUUGUUAAUUGUUAAGUGCCCAAUGAUUGCUGGUUCAGAUAAGAAGCAUUGGGAGGAUAAGCAUUAUACAUACUGCAGGCUUGGGGCGGGCUAUGCAAAUAUCCUGGUCAUGUUUUUCUCCUCGCAUGAGCUUUUAUGCCACCGCUAUUCCGUUAUACUGCUAUAUGUUCUACCUACAGAAGUCAAAUUUGACAGAGUUAAUCCUUAG